rnacentral:rRNA from 1 species
AUUGAACGCUGGCGGAAUGCUUUACACAUGCAAGUCGAACGGCAGCACGGACUUCGGUCUGGUGGCGAGUGGCGAACGGGUGAGUAAUGUAUCGGAACGUGCCCAGUCGUGGGGGAUAACGUAGUGAAAAUUACGCUAAUACCGCAUACGAUCUAUGGAUGAAAGCGGGGGAUCGCAAGACCUCGCGCGGUUGGAGCGGCCGAUAUCAGAUUAGGUAGUUGGUGGGGUAAAGGCCCACCAAGCCAACGAUCUGUAGCUGGUCUGAGAGGACGACCAGCCACCCUGGAACUGAGACACGGUCCAGACUCCUACGGGGGGCAGCAGUGGGGAAUUUUGGACAAUGGGCGAAAGCCUGAUCCAGCCAUUCCGCGUGCAGGAUGAAGGCCCUCGGGUUGUAAACUGCUUUUGUACAGAACGAAAAGGUUUCUACUAAUACUAGGAGCUCAUGACGGCACUGUAAGAAUAAGCACCGGCUAACUACGUGCCAGCCGCCGCCGUAA